rnacentral:rRNA from 1 species
GGGAAUCUGCCCUUGGGUUCGGGAUAACCGUUGGAAGCGACGGCUAAUACCGGAUGAUGACGAAAGUCCAAAGAUUUAUCGCCCAGGGAUGAGCCCGCGUCCGAUUAGGUAGUUGGUGGGGUAAAGGCCUACCAAGCCGACGAUCGGUAGCUGGUCUGAGAGGAUGAUCAGCCACACUGGGACUGAGACACGGCCCAGACUCCUACGGGAGGCAGCAGUGGGGAAUAUUGGACAAUGGGCGAAAGCCUGAUCCAGCAAUGCCGCGUGAGUGAUGAAGGCCUUAGGGUUGUAAAGCUCUUUUACCCGGGAUGAUAAUGACAGUACCGGGAGAAUAAGCCCCGGCUAACUCCGUGCCAGCAGCCGCGGUAAUACGGAGGGGGCUAGCGUUGUUCGGAAUUACUGGGCGUAAAGCGCACGUAGGCGGCUUUGUAAGUAAGAGGUGAAAGCCUGGUGCUCAACACCAGAACUGCCUUUUAGACUGCAUCGCUUGAAUCCAGGAGAGGUGAGUGGAAUUCCGAGU